rnacentral:rRNA from 1 species
CCUACGGGAGGCAGCAGUGGGGAAUAUUGCACAAUGGCGGAAACCCUGAUGCAGCGACGCCGCGUGAGUGAAGAAGUAUUUCGGUAUGUAAAGCUCUAUCAGCAGGGAAGAAAAUGACGGUACCUGACUAAGAAGCCCCGGCUAACUACGUGCCAGCAGCCGCGGUAAUACGUAGGGGGGAAGCGUUAUCCGGAUUUACUGGGUGUUAAGGGAGCGUUGACGGUGUUGCAAGUCAGGAGGUAAAGUCCGGGGGUCAACUCCGGGAGUGCCUUUGAAACUGUGUGACUGGAGUGCAGGAGAGGUAAGCGGAAUGCGUGGUGUAGCGGUGAAAUGCGUAGAUAUCAGGAAGAACGCCAGUGGCGAAGGCGGCUUACUGGAGUGUAACUGACGUUGAGGCUCGAAAGCGUGGGGAGCAAACAGGAUUAGAUACCCUAGUAGUC